rnacentral:rRNA from 1 species
GAUGAACGCUGGCGGCGUGCCUAAUACAUGCAAGUCGAGCGAACGGACGAGAAGCUUGCUUUUCUGAUGUUAGCGGCGGACGGGUGAGUAACACGUGGAUAACCUACCUAUAAGACUGGGAUAACUUCGGGAAACCGGAGCUAAUACCGGAUAAUAUUUUGAACCGCAUGGUUCAAAAGUGAAAGACGGUCUUGCUGUCACUUAUAGAUGGAUCCGCGCUGCAUUGGCUAGUUGGUAAGGUAACGGCUUACCAAGGCAACGAUGCAUAGCCGACCUGAGAGGGUGAUCGGCCACACUGGAACUGAGACACGGUCCAGACUCCUACGGGAGGCAGCAGUAGGGAAUCUUCCGCAAUGGGCGAAAGCCUGACGGAGCAACGCCGCGUGAGUGAUGAAGGUCUUCGGAUCGUAAAACUCUGUUAUUAGGGAAGAACAUAUGUGUAAGUAACUGUGCACAUCUUGACGGUACCUAAUCAGAAAGCCACGGUUAACUACGUG